UACAGGGGGUGCAAACGUUGCUCGGAAUCAUUGGGCGUAAAGCGCAUGUAGGCGGUUCGUUAUGUCGGAUGUGAAAGCCCUUGGCUUAACCGAGGAAGUGCAUCCGAAACUGGCGAGCUAGAGUACUAAAGAGGAUCGCGGAAUUCCCGGUGUAGAGGUGAAAUUCGUAGAUAUCGGGAGGAACACCGGUGGCGAAGGCGGCGAUCUGGGUAGAUACUGACGCUGAGGUGCGAAAGCGUGGGGAGCAAACAGG
rnacentral:rRNA from 1 species